GCCGUCUUAUCUCAAAGCACGAAAUGUUCUGUUUUGAGAAAACAGUAUUUAAAACAUUUAAACUUUUGCUUGAAUAUCUUAUAUUUCGAAAAACAGUAUAAACUGUACGGUCUAAAUUUAGUUUGCACGGUCUAAAUUUAGUUUGCACGAAAGUUGUAAACAACACCAUAUAAGGAUAGACAUUCCAUAUUUGGAAAAACGAACGUUACGGGGCAGAUAUUCAAAUUCAUCAGUCAUCGAUGCAGGCUCUCAAUUCAGCUUGAGAGCCUGUUCGCAGGCUAUAAC